rnacentral:rRNA from 1 species
GACGAACGCUGGCGGCGUGCUUAACACAUGCAAGUCGAACGAGAGCGUAGAGAAAGCUUGCUUUUUCUACAAUCUAGUGGCAAACGGGUGAGUAACGCGUAAACAACCUGCCCUACGGAUGGGGACAACAGCUGGAAACGGCUGCUAAUACCGAAUACGUUCCGAAAGUCGCAUGACUGUCGGAAGAAAGGAUGGCCUCUAUUUAUAAGCUAUCGCCGGAGGAGGGGUUUGCGUCUGAUUAGCUAGUUGGAGGGGUAACGGCCCACCAAGGCGACGAUCAGUAGCCGGUCUGAGAGGAUGAACGGCCACAUUGGAACUGAGACACGGUCCAGACUCCUACGGGAGGCAGCAGUGGGGAAUCUUCCGCAAUGGGCGAAAGCCUGACGGAGCAACGCCGCGUGAGUGAAGACGGCCUUCGGGUUGUAAAGCUCUGUUAUACGGGACGAAAAAUCUUGUGGUUAAUACCCAUGAGAAGUGACGGUACCCUAAGA